rnacentral:lncRNA from 1 species
GUUGUUAUUGGAUCUCUUUCUUCUUUCUCCUCUCCUCCCAUCGCCGCCCACCAUCACCCCCUCCUACGUCUGCCACCGCUUUCUCAGUCAAUCAUAAUAUUAUUAUUAAAUGAACCAUAAAGCUACAAGAGUGUUUAAUUUUUUCAAAACCUGAAUUUUUUUAUCAUCUUGCGAGCUGUACACAUGAUUCAUAAGUUUGAUCGAUGAAAUUGUUUCUGAAGAUGAUGGAUUUGUUUUCUGGUUAUUGUUUUCAGCGGUGAUGGAUUUGUUUGUGACGGCGGCAACGACAACGAUACGGCGAUGAAAGGAAUAGGGGAGAGUGACGGCGUUGUGAUUCACUGAGAGGGCUGCGACUGGCGGCGAUGGAGGUGGUGGUGGUGGGCGGCGAUGGGAGGAGAAGAGAAGCUUCAGAUCACGUUAUUGGGGAAGAGGUGAAUGAAGGAAGAUAAAUUGCAUCUUUUUUUAUUAAAGAAGUACUUUAUAAAAUUUUAAAUCUUGGUUAAUUUUUUGCCACAUAUCUGGAAUCUAAAGGCUAAAUGGAUUAAAUGGAGCAUACCCAAACUCGUUUCUAUGAAUUUGGUAUGGGUCCUGCCUACCGUUUUAAUGCUUAACAGUUAGGUUAAACGUAAGGUAACCCAAAGACAUUAGAGCUUCUUUUAAGAUUGACAAAGAUUCAUUUCAUAUGUUUUUGUUGGUGGUGUUGUUUAAAAUGUGUUAAAGUGUUGUUGGAUCUAUGCAAACUUGGUCAUUAUUGUUUAAUGUCUAUUAUGUAGAUAGUCAAUUUUGAGUAAGAGAGUUAUGAAUUUGAAACUUUUGCGGUGCAAGAUGUUAUUCCAAGACUUCCAACAUUCGGUGUUCUCUCCUUUGUUAGCUCUAGUGUUGUAUUUGUUUUUAUGUAUUUGAUGUUUCUGCAGUCACUAGCUUGUUAUCUAUCGAUGAAUGAAAUAUCUACUUAUUUACCAAAUAAUAAUAAUAAUAAUAAUAAUAAUUGACAAUGCGUCCAUGAAAAUCCACAAUCUCCCAAACACUAGGCUUGUGAGAGUGAAAUGUUGAAG